UACAGAGGGGGCAAGCGUUGUUCGGAAUCACUGGGCGUAAAGGGUGCGUAGGCCGCACGGAAAGUCAGAGGUGAAAUCCCGGAGCUCAACUCCGGAAUUGCCUCCGAUACUCCCGUGCUUGAGGACUGGAGAGGAGUCUGGAAUUCACAGUGGAGCAGUGAAAUGCGUAGAUAUUGUGAGGAACACUAGUGGCGAAGGCGAGACUCUGGACAGUUCCUGACGCUGAGGCACGAAGGCCAGGGAGCAAACGGG
rnacentral:rRNA from 1 species